rnacentral:rRNA from 1 species
CCUACGGGAGGCAGCAGCGAGGAAUUUUCCGCAAUGGGCGAAAGCCUGACGGAGCAAUGCCGCGUGGAGGAUGACAGCCUGUGGGUCGUAAACUCCUUUUCUCAGAGAAGAAGUUCUGACGGUAUCUGAGGAAUAAGCAUCGGCUAACUCCGUGCCAGCAGCCGCGGUAAGACGGAGGAUGCAAGCGUUAUCCGGAAUGAUUGGGCGUAAAGCGUCUGUAGGUGGUUUAUUAAGUCUACUGUUAAAGAUCAGGGCUUAACCCUGAGUCGGCAGUAGAAACUAAUGAGCUUGAGUACGGUAGGGGCAGAGGGAAUUCCCGGUGUAGCGGUGAAAUGCGUAGAGAUCGGGAAGAACACCAAUGGCGAAAGCACUCUGCUGGGCCGAAACUGACACUCAGAGACGAAAGCUAGGGGAGCAAAAGGGAUUAGAUACCCCUGUAGUCCUAGCCGUAAACGAUGGAUACUAAGUGCUGUGCGACUCAAAACGUCCAGUACUGUAGCUAACGCGUGAAGUAUCCCGCCUGGGGAGUAUGCUCGCGAGAGUAGAACGUACAAUAGUAAGUUAGACGGCGUGAGACGUGCCGACGGACGACGACGAGGGAGGUUAGG